rnacentral:rRNA from 1 species
CAGUAGCCGCGGUAAUACGAGGGGGGCAAGCGUUGUUCGGAAUUAUUGGGCGUAAAGGGUGCGUAGGCGGUUUGACAAGUCUUAUGUGAAAUCUUCGGGCUCAACCCGAAGUCUGCAUGAGAAACUGUUGAGCUUGAGUAUGGGAGAGGUGAGUGGAAUUUCCGGUGUAGCGGUGGAAUGCGUAGAUAUCGGAAGGAACACCUGUGGCGAAAGCGGCUCACUGGACCAUUACUGACGCUGAGGCGCGAAAGCUAGGGGAGCAAACAGGAUUAGAUACCCCUGUAGUCCCUGUCUCUUAUAA